UCUAAAAGCAUGCCCACCUCCCUGAGAGUGUGUUCCCUGUAGAGACUGCCCUUGCCGUUUUUGGUUCUUGGAAGAAUUGGUCCUGCAGUGUCAUCCCCUCCAUGUCCUUGAGAAAAACAGUAAUGGAUGAAAAAAGAUUAAAAGCUGUACUGCCCUGACUUCAUUCUGUAUGAAAGCAUUUAAUUUUUCUAAUACAAGAUGAUUCCAAGAGCUCACCAAUCCUAUUGUUAAUAAAGAAAACUGAUACUCAUUAAAGCUUGUUGUAUUAGCUUUAGUUGGUGAUUCUAUUCCUGUGAAGAAAAAUAAUUUUCUCCUUCUUCUCUGGAAGUAUUCUUAGGCAAGCCCCAUCUUAGUGAAUGCAGCUUCCAUCUGCCCUGUGGACAAGCCUCCCUCUUUGUCAUCCCUCACAGUCCUUCCAUCAGCAAGUCCUAUCCAUUUUACUUCCUAAAGAACUAUCGGAUCCAUCUGCUUCUCCUCUCUUGCCUGGGCCAUUGGAAGAGCCUUCUAACUAGACUCUUUCCCAUAAUCUUUUCCCCUUCUGAUCACUCACAAUCUGAUCCUGUCACUCACCCCUUUACUUAAAAACUCUUUAGUGGCUUCUUUUUGCCCUUAGAAUAACAUGUCAGG